GAGAGACUUAGAAUCCCCGUGAGUGUCGUGUAAAUAGCGGAUGUCUUUGGCCGGACAGCGUGGUUUGUGAAUC
rnacentral:ncRNA from 1 species